ensembl:snoRNA snoRNA:2R:9445410
UGUUGUCCAAUGCACGCUCAACUGCCCAUUUUCCAGGGUAGCAGAGUGCUAUUUUGAAGGACAUAUAGAAAACCCAUCGACAAUCUUACCAAAUGUCUGGCCUAUUUCGUGGGCCUUGCAUUUCCUUUAAAUUGUCAAACAAUUAGGUAUA